rnacentral:rRNA from 1 species
CACGUAGGGUGCGAGCGUUGUCCGGAAUUAUUGGGCGUAAAGAGCUCGUAGGCGGUGUGUCGCGUCGGCCGUGAAAACCUGCAGCUUAACUGUGGGCGUGCGGUCGAUACGGGCAUCACUGGAGUUCGGCAGGGGAGACUGGAAUUCCUGGUGUAGCGGUGAAAUGCGCAGAUAUCAGGAGGAACACCGGUGGCGAAGGCGGGUCUCUGGGCCGUAACUGACGCUGAGGAGCGAAAGCAUGGGGGAGCGAACAGG